AAAGAACUCUGGCCCCCUGGCCCUGAGAACUGAAUUCCAUAGGCUGUGAGCUCUAGCAAAUGCCCUAGGAACUCAGUUCUGGUGCCCGGCAGGCAGCAC
rnacentral:pre_miRNA from 1 species